UACGUAGGCAGCAAGCGUUGUUCGGAUUUACUGGGCGUAAAGGGUGCGUAGGCGGUCCUGUAAGUAUGGUGUGAAAUCUCCCGGCUUAACUGGGAGGGUGCGCUAUAGACUGCGGGACUAGAGGGUGGGAGAGGAAAGUGGAAUUCCUGGUGUAGCGGUGAAAUGCGUAGAUAUCAGGAGGAACACCGGUGGUGUAAACGGCUUUCUGGACCAUUUCUGACGCUGAGGCACGAAAGCGUGGGUAGCAAACAGG
rnacentral:rRNA from 1 species